UAGGGUUAGGCUUAAGGAUAGGAUGGGGGCUUGGGGUGUGUGUGUGUGGUGUGUGGUGUGUGUGUGUGUGUGU